rnacentral:lncRNA from 1 species
UCAAUAUUAGAAAAGACCUUCAGGAUGAUCCAGUCCAAGUGUUCACCCAGCGCUGCCACUGUAACCCCUAAACCUCAGCAACAAAUGCAAGAUCCAGACACCUGAACAUCUCCCUGGCAGCCUAUUCCAAUGCCCGAGCUCCCAAACAAUCAAUACAUUUUUCUCCAAACAUAAUUUGAAUCUGCCCUGUCUCGGCUCAUGACCUCACACCAUCUGCUGUGUCCCUCUCCCCUGUAGCUCCCAUAUUUCCUGCAGGGAUGUGCUGGGUUUGUGGGACGCCACUGAGCGCUCAGGCUUGCACAGCUCUGAAAUAAAUAAUUCACUGUGUCUCGAGUGUGUCAUCAUUGGCUUGGUGCACACCAGGGAAUAAAUCAAUGUCCUGAGGAGGCUGUGGCUCCUGGAAAGCUGCUGGUACUGUCAGGGACAGAAAUCACAGCCCCAGGUUUUUGCUCUGAAACAGUUUUUGCUCUGAAACAACUGCAGGAAACAACACAAAUUUGGUUGUGCAAUAUUGAGGUCAGACCUGAGCGUAGCCUCUUCUUUAGGCCCUUUAUCAAAAAUCUCAUCACGAGCCCCAAAAUCCUCUCAAGUGUGUCAGGACUUUCCAUGAAUGAAGUUAAAUAUCUCCAUCCUGCUCCCAGCUCAGGCUUACAAAGCACUCUCAGACUGGCCUUGGGUAGGAUUCCUGCAAGAACAGAGCUCUCUUGCAUGACCCACGGCCAUAAAAACCACCUAGCAGCAUUGUUCAUCCCCAGAAACCUCUGUGGUGCAGCUUGUGAGGCUUUGUCAAGGAAAACUUACUCUCUGCUUCAGCUGCUGCUUGGAAAAUGA